AUUGAACGCUAGCGGGAUGCCUUACACAUGCAAGUCGAACGAGUGGCGGACGGGUGAGUAAUAUAUUGGAACGUGCCCAGUAUCGGGGGAUAACUACUCGAAAGAUUGGACACUACCGCAUAAUAUUCGAGCGGCCGAUAGGGGAUUAGCAAGUUGGUGGGGUAAAGGCUCACCAAGGCAACGAUCCGUAGCUGGUUUGAGAGGACGACCAGCCACACUGGGACUGAGACACGGCCCAGACUCCUACGGGAGGCAGCAGUGGGGAAUUUUGGGCAAUGGGCGAAAGCCUGAUCCAGCCAUCCCGCGUGUAUGAGAAGGCCUUCGGGUUGUAAAGUACUGUUGGCAGAGAAGCGGUAUCUGCAGAAUAAGCACCGGCUAACUACGUGCCAGCAGCCGCGGUAAUUC
rnacentral:rRNA from 1 species